UCUGUGUGUCCGUGUCCUUGUCCCCGAGGUCCCCUGUGUGACCGUGUCCUCGUCCCCGAGGUCCCCUCUGUGACCGUGUCCUCAUCCC
rnacentral:lncRNA from 1 species